CGUCUACUCUUGGCCAGCCUUCUGAAAGGAAGAUUAAUCCAGGAUGGGAUCAUGAGUUCACAUGUCCGCAUGAUUAAAGGUAUUUUCCGGUAGACGAUGGGGAUGCGUUCCAUUAGAUAGUAGGCGGGGUAACGGCCCACCUAGUCAACGAUGGAUAGGGGUUCUGAGAGGAAGGUCCCCCACAUUGGAACUGAGACACGGUCCAA
rnacentral:rRNA from 1 species